UACGUAUGGUGCAAGCGUUAUCCGGAUUUACUGGGUGUAAAGGGAGCGCAGGCGGCACGGCAAGCCUGAUGUGAAAGCCCGCGGCCCAACCGCGGGACUGCAUUGGGAACUACCGGGCUGGAGUGCCGGAGAGGUAGGCGGAAUUCCUAGUGUAGCGGUGAAAUGCGUAGAUAUAUGGAGGAACACCGGUGGCGAAAGCGGCUCUCUGGCCUGUAACUGACACUGAGGCUCGAAAGCGUGGGGAGCAAACAGG
rnacentral:rRNA from 1 species